AUUGAACGCUGGCGGCAGGCUUAACACAUGCAAGUCGAGCGGGGUGAUGGUGCUUGCACUAUCACUUAGCGGCGGACGGGUGAGUAAUGCUUAGGAAUCUGCCUAUUAGUGGGGGACAACAUCUCGAAAGGGAUGCUAAUACCGCAUACGUCCUACGGGAGAAAGCAGGGGAUCACUUGUGACCUUGCGCUAAUAGAUGAGCCUAAGUCGGAUCAGCUUGUUGGUGAGGUAAAAGCUAACCAAGGCGACGAUCCCUAGCUGGUCUGAGAGGAUGACCAGCCACACUGGAACUGAGACACGGUCCAGACUCCUACGGGAGGCAGCAGUGGGGAAUAUUGCACAAUGGGCGCAAGCCUGAUGCAGCCAUGCCGCGUGUGUGAAGGAGGCCUUCGGGUUGUAAAGCACUUUCAGCGGGGAGGAAGGCGGUGAGUUUAAUAAGCUCACCGAUUGACGUUACCCGCAGAAGAAGCACCGGCUAACUCCGUGCCAGCAGCCGCCGUAA
rnacentral:rRNA from 1 species